GAUGAACGCUGGCGGCGUGCCUAAUACAUGCAAGUCGAGCGAACAGAUGAGGAGCUUGCUCCUCUGACGUUAGCGGCGGACGGGUGAGUAACACGUGGAUAACCUACCUAUAAGACUGGGAUAACUUCGGGAAACCGGAGCUAAUACCGGAUAAUAUAUUGAACCGCAUGGUUCAAUAGUGAAAGACGGUUUUGCUGUCACUUAUAGAUGGAUCCGCGCCGCAUUAGCUAGUUGGUAAGGUAACGGCUUACCAAGGCAACGAUGCGUAGCCGACCUGAGAGGGGGAUCGGCCACACUGGAACUGAGACACGGUCCAGACUCCUACGGGAGGCAGCAGUAGGGAAUCUUCCGCAAUGGGCGAAAGCCUGACGGAGCAACGCCGCGUGAGUGAUGAAGGUCUUCGGAUCGUAAAACUCUGUUAUUAGGGAAGAACAAAUGUGUAAGUAACUAUGCACGGCUUGACGGUACCUAAUCAGAAAGCCACGGCUAACUACGUG
rnacentral:rRNA from 1 species